rnacentral:rRNA from 1 species
UACGGGGGGAGCAAGCGUUGUUCGGAUUUACUGGGCGUAAAGGGCGCGUAGGCGGUCACGACAAGUCAGUUGUGAAAUCUCCGGGCUUAACUCGGAACGGUCAACUGAUACUGUCGGACUAGAGUACAGAAGGGGCAACUGGAAUUCUCGGUGUAGCGGUGAAAUGCGUAGAUAUCGAGAGGAACACCUGCGGCGAAGGCGGGUUGCUGGGCUGAUACUGACGCUGAGGCGCGAAAGCCAGGGGAGCGAACGGG